AUUUAAAAGCAGAGUACACAAAUACAGCUGCUUUCUAAGUACAGUUUCCUCAUACUUGCUAAGUUAUGUUCGUUUUCUUCCCCCCCCGUCUUUUUUUUUUAAAUAACUUUUAGGAGAACUCCAGUCACAUCAGUGACAAAACAGACAUCAAGCAACCAGCAGCUAUCCAUUAGAGUCACAUCUGGGAACAUGCUUAUGUGCUAUGAAUCUCUUUAUGCUUGAAGCUCCAGUAUUUGAGGUCUCAAACUAUCUUCAUUUACUGAAGCUGUUUGGGCUGCUGCCUUCAUUUCUGCUUCCCAUCUUUCUGCAGACAUGAACCAACAAGCUUGGGACAG
rnacentral:lncRNA from 1 species